rnacentral:rRNA from 1 species
CGGCUGGCGGCUUCCGGGAAACCAAAGUUUUUCGGUUCCAGGGGAAGUAUGGUUGCAAAGCUGAAACUUAAAGGAAUUGACGGAAGGGCACCACCAGGAGUGGAGCCUGCGGCUUAAUUCGACUCAACACGGGAAAACUCACCCGGUCCGGACACUGGAAGGAUUGACAGAUUAAGAGCUCUUUCUUGAUUCAGUGGGUGGUGGUGCAUGGCCGUUCUUAGUUGGUGGAGCGAUUUGUCUGGUUAAUUCCGAUAACGAACGAGACUCUAGCCUACUAAAUAGUGUUGGAUACCUUCGGUUAUCUUGAUGCUUCUUAGAGGGACAAACGGCGUUUCAGCCGUAUGAAAAAGAGCAAUAACAGGUCUGUGAUGCCCUUAGAUGUCCGGGGCCGCACGCGCGCUACACUGAAAAAAUCAGCGUGCAUGUGUCUACCUACUCCGAAAGGAGCGGGAAACCGAGUGAAACUUUUUCGUGAUUGGGAUUGGGGAUUGUAAUUAUUGUCCAUGAACGAGGAAUUCCCAGUAAGCACAAGUCAUCAGCUUGUGUUGAUUACGUCCCUGCCCUUUGUACACACCGCCCGUCGCUACUACCGAUUGGAUGUUUUAGUGAGGUCUUUGGACUGGCCAACGUAGCUAUCCUCGUGGUGGCCAUGUUCGGCCGGGAAGAUGACCAAACUUGAACAUCUAG